UGCAAAAGAAGCUAAUAAUGUAUCUCUUCUCCUAGGCUUCCAGACAGUUCGUGUUGGGACAGUGGGCACCCCUGUGGGCACCAUCACUCUUUCUUGUGCUUACAGAAUUAACUUGGCAUUCAUGUCUACCAGGUGAGGAAGAGCCCUGGAAUCCAAAAGAACUCUUCCGAAAAUGUUAAAGUUUUUUUUCUCCUAAACUUUAAGACUAAACCUACAAUUCAGCUUUGCUGAAAGCAGUACCUUCAGAAGAAUAAAGAGAGAGUGCAGUUGCCAGAUUGGAGAAUUUGAGUGUCCCAGAGCCAGUUUGUCCAGAACGUAGGAUUGGUGGUUUAUAUUUAGGGAUUGUGAUAGUUAAAGCUCUGGUAGUGCCUGCCAACAGAUGUAAGGUGAGGGGCCCUCUGAGGACUUUGUGGGGGCUGGAAAGGCAUUCUAACAAAUACUGGAAUCUGCUUAUUGUAUUACAGGCAAUUUGAGAGGACCCCACCUAUCAUGGGGAUUAUUAUUGAUCACUUUGUGGACCGUCCCUAUCCCAGCUCCUCUCCCAUGCACCCCUGCAAUUACAGAACUGCUGGUG
rnacentral:lncRNA from 1 species